rnacentral:rRNA from 1 species
UACGUAGGGGGCAAGCGUUGUCCGGAAUCAUUGGGCGUAAAGAGCGUGUAGGCGGCUCGAUAAGUCUGCUGUGAAAGUCCAGGGCUCAACCCUGGAAGGCCGGUGGAAACUGUCGGGCUAGAGUCCGGAAGAGGCGAGUGGAAUUCCCGGUGUAGCGGUGAAAUGCGCAGAUAUCGGGAGGAACAUCAGUUGCGAAGGCGGCUCUCUGGACAGUUACUGACACUGAGGCACGAAGGCCAGGGGAGCAAACGGG